CAGAUAUUUGGCAGAAUAAUCCAACCAAGUGGCCAGAGGUACAAUGGCCAGAUGUCUUCCACUACUUGAUAGACACUCCAGGGGUGUAUACAAGGGAGUCGAUGAAGAAUCUCAAGAGCCUUGAAGCCCACAACUUCUUCAUAUAAGGCUGGGUCCAGACAUUAUUACACAUUAAGAACACCUCAAACGGCAGAUGUGCAACCAUCAUACAGAGUCAAUGAUGACCCUCACCACCCAUGGGUUUCCAUAUCUAAGGAUGGAAGUGUUCUUACUGCUCACUGUGACGCAUGGCAGGACUGGGCGAGUCAUGUUCUCACUUUGCAGCCGUCCUGUUUAAGAUCGAGGCAGCAGUGAGAAACAGGUAUACAAAGUUGGCAUGUACAGACAAGCCGUGUUCAUGGAAUCAAUGUUUCACUAAGGCGGUUCAACCAGCGGAAAUUAGACAUAUUUCUUUUUAGAAAGAAAGUGUGAAGGAAAAGCUGCGGUGUAGCAAACGAAAAAGAAAGCCACCACCACCUGCACCAUCUCUAGAGAAACAAAAACAAUUUCUUCAAAAACUGGCUGGUCUGAAGGAAAAACCAGUUGUUCUUAGUGUGUUCAAAGAAAAGCCCACAUGUUCUAUGAAAAGAGGCAGAAAAAAUGACAGUUUACCGCUAUCACUUAAAUUUCUCCAUAAAGAAGAAAACAGCAAAAAGUCUGGAACUUAAAACCUUGUGCGAAAGUGUACGCCUGUCUCUUGCUGUAAGUGAAAAUGAAAAUGUCAGAGUACCUGAAACAAUCAACAAAGCUACAAUCCGACUUAGUUGUAUGGCAUGAUCAGAGGACUGGACGGGUAACUGCAUCCCUUGCUCACAGUGUCUUACACACAAAUCCGGAAAACCCAGCUAAGUCACUCAUAACACGCAGUUCUGCCAUUUCGUUGUCUGGACUACUCCAACCUGUAUCAUAGCACAAGUAUUGCGAGAUGAAGAUUGUAUUGAAAACAUGCUUUCUUCUAUUGACUUAUUUUGGAACGAUCAUUGCUUGCCCGAGUUAUUGACCCAUUUUAUGUUAACUGCCUGUCUGGCAGUUGAAACAGUUCCUACAAGUGAUGUCACACUUUACUGUUUUUGUCAUCUUCCCUGGGACGAAAAUGAUGGAACAGAUAUGGUAGGGUGUGAUGGAAAACAUUGAAGAGAGUCUCAUUACACAUGUCUACAAGAAAGACCAUUGAUGCAAAGCAUCAAAGGGCGCCGUUUAAUAGUUUAUGCAUUUGUUAUAUGUUGAAAAACAAGGAAUGUCAAGCCCAACAAGCAUAUUACAAUGCAUCGAACCGCAUCCAUGAAAUUCUCAAAAUAUUUGUUGCAUUCUGCUUAACAACAUAGGCUAAAGCAUUUCAUUAGGGGUGUGGUACAUUAAUGAACACGACAGAAUUAGGGUGCUUGUGCACUGUACUUUUUGUCAUUGCCACCUAUCCAUAUACCAAGUUUUAUUUCAAAACCAUGAGUAUUUUGAAAGUAAUUGCUCUGGUCAAGAAAAAUAGGCAAAGGGCAAUAAUUCUGUAAUUAGCUGAAAUACAGUUUUAGUCAUUGUGCACUGCACUUCCUCUUGUUGUGCUUUACCAUUGAAUGAUGUUUAAUGAAAUUCCAAAAAGUAGUUUUCUUGUUAUGCUACGGACAGGAAAAGGAACAAAGGGAAUAACUCUUGCAAUUCGCUGAAAUAGAGUUAUUGUUCUUGUACACUGCAGUUCUAAUCAUUUAGGGGGAGGGGGCAAAGUCACCAUGCUGGAAUGACAACUUGAAGGGAAGAAUAAGUUUCCUGAUUAUAUGAGGAAUUCAUCAUGAAGAAGUGACAUGAAAUAACAAUUUUUGUAGUACUUUAAUAAACAUUAUCAUUUCGUAUGAAAGUUACAAACAUAAAUAGAACAUAAUUAUUGAACUGUUAUAUAAAAAGAGAACAUUGUUUACUAGAUGAAGUGCAUUUAUAACAUAACAUGCCUUGUUUUUAGCUGUUUAAUAAUACUAAAAUGUAUGAAAUUGGACAAAUUGCAUAAAAAACUGGUCAAUGGAGUUAUAAU